rnacentral:rRNA from 1 species
UACAGAGGUGGCAAGCGUUGUUCGGAAUUACUGGGCGUAAAGGGCGCGUAGGCGGCUUCGUAAGUCUCGUGUGAAAGCCCUCGGCUUAACUGAGGAUCUGCACGGGAUACUGUGAGGCUUGAGUUCGGGAGAGGAAAGCGGAAUUCCGGGUGUAGCGGUGAAAUGCGUAGAUAUCCGGAGGAACACCAGAGGCGAAGGCGGCUUUCUGGACCGACACUGACGCUGAGGCGCGAAGUCGUGGGGAGCGAACGGG